rnacentral:rRNA from 1 species
GGUUAAGCGACUAAGCGUACACGGUGGAUGCCCUGGCAGUCAGAGGCGAUGAAGGACGUGCUAAUCUGCGAAAAGCGUCGGUAAGGUGAUAUGAACCGUUAUAGCCGGCGAUGUCCGAAUGGGGAAACCCAGUGUGAUUCGUCACACUAUCGUUAACUGAAUACAUAGGUUAACGAGGCGAACCGGGGGAACUGAAACAUCUAAGUACCCCGAGGAAAAGAAAUCAACCGAGAUUCCCCCAGUAGCGGCGAGCGAACGGGGAGCAGCCCAGAGUCUGAAUCAGCUUGUGUGUUAGUGGAACGGUCUGGAAAGUCCGACGGUACAGGGUGAUAGUCCCGUACACCAAAAUGCACAGGCUGUGAA